UGCAGUCGAGCGGCAGCGGAAGUACCUUGCUACUUUGCCGGCGAGCGGCAGACGGGUGAGUAGUGUCUGGGAAACUGCCUGAUGGAGGGGGAUAACUAGUGGAAAGGGUAGCUAAUACCGCAUAACGUCGCAAGACCAAAGAGGGGGACCUUCGGGCCUCGUGCCCUCAUAUGCGCCCAGAUGGGAUUAUCUAGUGUGGGGGGUAACGGCUCCCCUAGGCCACGAUCCCUAUGUGGUCAGAGAAGAUGACCACCCACUCUGGAUCUGACACACGGCCCACACUCCUACGGGAGGCCACUGUGGGGAAUAUUGCACAGGGGGCGCACGCCUGAUGCACCCAUGCCGCGUGUAUGAAAAAGGCCUUCGGUUUGUAAUAUAUUUUCCGCGGAGAAGAAGGCGCAGAGGUUAAAAACCUCCGAUAUUGACUUCCCCCACAAAAAAAACCCCGUCUAACUCCGUGCCAACACCCGCGGAUAUACAGAGGGUGCACGCUUUACUCAAAUUUACUGGGCAUAAAGCACACGCGCGCGCUGUGUCAACUCAUAUGUAAAAUCCCCGGUCUCAACCUGGAAACUGCUCUCAGGUGCGAAAGCGUGGGGAGCAAACAGGAUUAGAUACCCUGGUAGUCCACGCCGUAAACGAUGUCGACUUGGAGGUUGUGCCCUUGAGGCGUGGCUUCCGGAGCUAACGCGUUAAGUCGACCGCCUGGGGAGUACGGCCGCAAGGUUAAAACUCAAAUGAAUUGACGGGGGCCCGCACAAGCGGUGGAGCAUGUGGUUUAAUUCGAUGCAACGCGAAGAACCUUACCUACUCUUGACAUCCAGAGAACUUAGCAGAGAUGCUUUGGUGCCUUCGGGAACUCUGAGACAGGUGCUGCAUGGCUGUCGUCAGCUCGUGUUGUGAAAUGUUGGGUUAAGUCCCGCAACGAGCGCAACCCUUAUCCUUUGUUGCCAGCGGUUAGGCCGGGAACUCAAAGGAGACUGCCAGUGAUAAACUGGAGGAAGGUGGGGAUGACGUCAAGUCAUCAUGGCCCUUACGAGUAGGGCUACACACGUGCUACAAUGGCGCAUACAAAGAGAAGCGACCUCGCGAGAGCAAGCGGACCUCAUAAAGUGCGUCGUAGUCCGGAUUGGAGUCUGCAACUCGACUCCAUGAAGUCGGAAUCGCUAGUAAUCGUAGAUCAGAAUGCUACGGUGAAUACGUUCCCGGGCCUUGUACACACCGCCCGUCACACCAUGGGAGUGGGUUGCAAAAGAAGUAGGUAGCUUAACCUUCGGGAGG
rnacentral:rRNA from 1 species